GAGGAUGGCGGGACGGGUGAGUAACGCGUAAGGAACUUGCCUCUUGGACUGGGACAACUGUUGGAAACGACAGCUAAUACCGGAUAUUAUGAGAUUCUCGCAUGAGAAACUUAUGAAAGCUAUAUGCGCCAAGAGAGAGCCUUGCGUUCCAUUAGCUAGUUGGUGGGGUAACGGCCCACCAAGGCGACGAUGGAUAGCCGGCCUGAGAGGGUGAACGGCCACAAGGGGACUGAGACACGGCCCUUACUCCUACGGGAGGCAGCAGUGGGGAAUAUUGGACAAUGGGCCACAAGCCUGAUCCAGCAAUUCUGUGUGCACGAUGAAGGUCUUCGGAUUGUAAAGUGCUUUCAGUUGGGAAGAAGAAAGUGACGGUACCAACAGAAGAAGCGACGGCUAAAUACGUGCCAGCAGCCGCGGUAAUACGUAUGUCGCAAGCGUUAUCCGGAUUUAUUGGGCGUAAAGCGCGUCUAGGCGGAAAAAUAAGUCUGAUGUUAAAAUGCGGGGCUCAACUCCGUAUUGCGUUGGAAACUGUUUUUCUAGAGUACUGGAGAGGUGGGCGGAACUACAAGUGUA
rnacentral:rRNA from 1 species